rnacentral:rRNA from 1 species
CUGAAACCGUGUACGUACAAGCAGUGGGAGCACGCUUAGGCGUGUGACUGCGUACCUUUUGUAUAAUGGGUCAGCGACUUAUAUUCUGUAGCAAGGUUAACCGAAUAGGGGAGCCGAAGGGAAACCGAGUCUUAACUGGGCGUUAAGUUGCAGGGUAUAGACCCGAAACCCGGUGAUCUAGCCAUGGGCAGGUUGAAGGUUGGGUAACACUAACUGGAGGACCGAACCGACUAAUGUUGAAAAAUUAGCGGAUGACUUGUGGCUGGGGGUGAAAGGCCAAUCAAACCGGGAGAUAGCUGGUUCUCCCCGAAAGCUAUUUAGGUAGCGCCUCGUGAAUUCAUCUCCGGGGGUAGAGCACUGUUUCGGCAAGGGGGUCAUCCCGACUUACCAACCCGAUGCAAACUGCGAAUACCGGAGAAUGUUAUCACGGGAGACACACGGCGGGUGCUAACGUCCGUCGUGAAGAGGGAAACAACCCAGACCGCCAGCUAAGGUCCCAAAGUCAUGGUUAAGUGGGAAACGAUGUGGGAAGGCCCAGACAGCCAGGAUGUUGGCUUAGAAGCAGCCAUCAUUUAAAGAAAGCGUAAUAGCUCACUGGUCGAGUCGGCCUGCGCGGAAGAUGUAACGGGGCUAAACCAUGCACCGAAGCUGCGGCAGCGACGCUUAUGCGUUGUUGGGUAGGGGAGCGUUCUGUAAGCCUGCGAAGGUGUGCUGUGAGGCAUGCUGGAGGUAUCAGAAGUGCGAAUGCUGACAUAAGUAACGAUAAAGCGGGUGAAAAGCCCGCUCGCCGGAAGACCAAGGGUUCCUGUCCAACGUUAAUCGGGGCAGGGUGAGUCGACCCCUAAGGCGAGGCCGAAAGGCGUAGUCGAUGGGAAACAGGUUAAUAUUCCUGUACUUGGUGUUACUGCGAAGGGGGGACGGAGAAGGCUAUGUUGGCCGGGCGACGGUUGUCCCGGUUUAAGCGUGUAGGCUGGUUUUCCAGGCAAAUCCGGAAAAUCAAGGCUGAGGCGUGAUGACGAGGCACUACGGUGCUGAAGCAACAAAUGCCAUGCUUCCAGGAAAAGCCUCUAAGCAUCAGGUAACAUCAAAUCGUACCCCAAACCGACACAGGUGGUCAGGUAGAGAAUACCAAGGCGCUUGAGAGAACUCGGGUGAAGGAACUAGGCAAAAUGGUGCCGUAACUUCGGGAGAAGGCACGCUGAUAUGUAGGUGAAGCGACUUGCUCGUGGAGCUGAAAUCAGUCGAAGAUACCAGCUGGCUGCAACUGUUUAUUAAAAACACAGCACUGUGCAAACACGAAAGUGGACGUAUACGGUGUGACGCCUGCCCGGUGCCGGAAGGUUAAUUGAUGGGGUCAGCGCAAGCGAAGCUCUUGAUCGAAGCCCCGGUAAACGGCGGCCGUAACUAUAACGGUCCUAAGGUAGCGAAAUUCCUUGUCGGGUAAGUUCCGACCUGCACGAAUGGCGUAAUGAUGGCCAGGCUGUCUCCACCCGAGACUCAGUGAAAUUGAACUCGCUGUGAAGAUGCAGUGUACCCGCGGCAAGACGGAAAGACCCCGUGAACCUUUACUAUAGCUUGACACUGAACAUUGAGCCUUGAUGUGUAGGAUAGGUGGGAGGCUUUGAAGUGUGGACGCCAGUCUGCAUGGAGCCGACCUUGAAAUACCACCCUUUAAUGUUUGAUGUUCUAACGUUGACCCGUAAUCCGGGUUGCGGACAGUGUCUGGUGGGUAGUUUGACUGGGGCGGUCUCCUCCUAAAGAGUAACGGAGGAGCACGAAGGUUGGCUAAUCCUGGUCGGACAUCAGGAGGUUAGUGCAAUGGCAUAAGCCAGCUUGACUGCGAGCGUGACGGCGCGAGCAGGUGCGAAAGCAGGUCAUAGUGAUCCGGUGGUUCUGAAUGGAAGGGCCAUCGCUCAACGGAUAAAAGGUACUCCGGGGAUAACAGGCUGAUACCGCCCAAGAGUUCAUAUCGACGGCGGUGUUUGGCACCUCGAUGUCGGCUCAUCACAUCCUGGGGCUGAAGUAGGUCCCAAGGGUAUGGCUGUUCGCCAUUUAAAGUGGUACGCGAGCUGGGUUUAGAACGUCGUGAGACAGUUCGGUCCCUAUCUGCCGUGGGCGCUGGAGAACUGAGGGGGGCUGCUCCUAGUACGAGAGGACCGGAGUGGACGCAUCACUGGUGUUCGGGUUGUCAUGCCAAUGGCACUGCCCGGUAGCUAAAUGCGGAAGAGAUAAGUGCUGAAAGCAUCUAAGCACGAAACUUGCCCCGAGAUGAGUUCUCCCUGACUCCUUGAGAGUCCUGAAGGAACGUUGAAGACGACGACGUUGAU